rnacentral:rRNA from 1 species
GACGAACCGCCCGAACGUUGUUCGGAAUCACUGGGCUUAAAGGGAGCGUAGGCGGGCUACCAAGUCCGGGGUGAAAUCCUCCAGCUUAACUGGAGAACUGCCUCGGAUACUGGAAGUCUCGAGGAGGGUAGGGGCAAGUGGAACCGUGGGUGGAGCGGUGAAAUGCGUUGAUAUCCAUGGGAACUCCGGUGGCGAAGGCGACUUGCUGGACCCUUUCUGACGCUGAGGCUCGAAAGCCAGGGGAGCAAACGGG